rnacentral:rRNA from 1 species
CGCCGGCUAGCGUACACAUGCAGUCGAGCGGUAACAGGGGUAGCUUGCUACCCGCUGACGAGCGGCGGACGGGUGAGUAAUGCAUAGGAAUCUACCCGGUAGUGGGGGAUAACCUGGGGAAACCCAGGCUAAUACCGCAUACGUCCUACGGGAGAAAGGGGGCUUCGGCUCCCGCUAUCGGAUGAGCCUAUGCCGGAUUAGCUGGUUGGUGAGGUAAUGGCUCACCAAGGCGACGAUCCGUAGCUGGUCUGAGAGGAUGAUCAGCCACAUCGGGACUGAGACACGGCCCGAACUCCUACGGGAGGCAGCAGUGGGGAAUAUUGGACAAUGGGCGAAAGCCUGAUCCAGCCAUGCCGCGUGUGUGAAGAAGGCCCUCGGGUUGUAAAGCACUUUCAGUGAGGAAGAACGCCUGUCGGUUAAUACCCGGCAGGAAAGACAUCACUCACAGAAGAAGCACCGGCUAACUCCGUGCCAGCAGCCGCGGUAAUACGGAGGGUGCAAGCGUUAAUCGGAAUUACUGGGCGUAAAGCGCGCGUAGGUGGCUUGAUAAGCCGGUUGUGAAAGCCCCGGGCUCAACCUGGGAACGGCAUCCGGAACUGU